ensembl:lncRNA
AUGGUCUGGUUGAACACUGGUCACAAGUCAUUCAACAUCGUGAUGGUCUGGUUGAACACUGGUCACAAGUCAUUCAACAUCGUGAUGGUGUGGUUGAACACUGGUCACAAGUCAUUCAACAUCGUGAUGGUCUGGUUGAACACUGGUCACAAGUCAUUCAUUCAGCAGGAACGAGUCGAAGACUAACAGACGGGAGGCAGAACAAACAGGUGGAGAAGAAAGAAUAAAUAAAUAGGAAAGAUAACUAUAAUCUUGUGUUGUUACAGUGUUCCUCUGACGUAAGGACAAAGUAGAAAGAGUAGAAGGAGAUGAAGGAGGAGAUGAGAGAAGGAGGCGAGAGGAGAAGAUGAGAGGAGGAGAUGAGAGGAGGAGAGGAGAGGAGAGCAGACCGAGGCCGAGCCAUGAAGCUGUGCUUCAAGAAAGAGAUUUUAUUAUUUUUCAGAUUAAAAAAAACAAUGAAUAAAAAUAAAGGUCAACACAAAGUCUGCACAAUCCAUUUGUUGCUCAAAAUGUGCGUGUAUUCAGAAAUGUCCCGUGAGUUUGUAUAUUGACCAAUGAUAACUGCCCUGUGUUUACUAUACUAUACUAACUAUAGUUUAGGCUCUUGUAGUAUAGUAUAUAGUUUUUAUUUUAUAACAUAGCAUAGCAUGGUACAGCAGUACAGCAUAGUAUACCAUAGUAUUAUACAUUAUUUUUAAGUAUAGUAUAGUAAAGUUCAGUUGUUUAAGUAUAGUAUAGGACCGUACUUUAGUAUUGCAUAGAAUACUAUGUAAUGCUAUAGUACUUUAAUGAUCUUUCUGUCGUUAUCAUAGAGAUAAUAAAUGUUGCAUUUGGUCUGGGACGUCUCCCAAAGCCAUGUAAAUGAUAUUAGGACCUGAUAUAAAAUAUAAUAAACCCAUACUUUUGGCCACUUUGAACCAUAGAACUGCACCAAUCUUUGUGGUGUGUGUGUGUGUGUGUUUGUUUGUUUGUAUAUGUGUGUGUUAGUUUGUGUGUCUGUGUGUAACAAGGCAGCAGACUUUUCUCUCUUUCAUGAAGCUUUUUUCGGAUGAUAGACAUAACUCUCUCUCUCUCUCUCUCUCUCUCUCUCUCUCUCUCUCUCUCUCUCUCUCUCUCUCUCUCUCUCUCUCUCUCUCUC